GACGAACGCUGGCGGCGUGCUUAACACAUGCAAGUCGAACGGAAAGGCCCUGCUUUUGUGGGGUGCUCGAGUGGCGAACGGGUGAGUAACACGUGAGUAACCUGCCCUUGACUUUGGGAUAACUUCAGGAAACUGGGGCUAAUACCGGAUAGGAGCUCCUGCUGCAUGGUGGGGGUUGGAAAGUUUCGGCGGUUGGGGAUGGACUCGCGGCUUAUCAGCUUGUUGGUGGGGUAGUGGCUUACCAAGGCUUUGACGGGUAGCCGGCCUGGGAGGGUGACCGGCCACAUUGGGACUGAGAUACGGACCAGACUCCUACGGGAGGCAGCAGUGGGGAAUAUUGCACAAUGGGCGGACGCCUGAUGCAGCGACGCCGCGUGCGGGAUGACGGCCUUCGAGUUGUAAACCGCUUUCGCCUGUGACGAAGCGUGAGUGACGGUAAUGGGUAAAGAAGCACCGGCUAACUACGUG
rnacentral:rRNA from 1 species